CACCGGGAAGCAGCCGCGGCGCCAUCUUUAGGAAGGGCGGCGGGAGCGCUCCCCUCAGAGCAGCCCGUCCGCCCCUCAGGCAACUCCCGCCCUCCUAGGAAACCUUCCCCUUUCCCAGGAAACCUUCCCCGUUUAACGCUUUCAUAGCCCAAAAAUUUGGGUUUAACACAUAGCCGUGUUCUGGUGUCGUCUUGGAUUUAAUUUAAAAAGAGAUGUUAAGUUUUAUCUCUCGUGGUGAGCCAAGUGCAGCCCUCAUCCCACAGCCUGAGCGCGGUAGAAAACAGAGGACACGUUUUUUACUUUAAAAAGGCUUGAAAUGAGACGUGAACGAUAAGAUCUUAAAGCGUAGCUUUGGGGUUUCACCGGCCUUUUGAACGCUUGGAGUUGGCAACACUGACCAGCUGUGGCACAAAGAAGUAAAUAUCUUAAUUUAUUUCGUCUUUUCCCAUCUCAGACCCAGGAUAUGAAACCGUCAUCACUCUGAAAGCGAAAAACCUCCAGCAGUUACCUCGCUGCAUCGAAUAAAUAGCGUCGGCAAUUUGUUGAACAGCAAGCUGGGAACCGCUCUGUGGUGAAAGUUCCAGCACUUCGAAGGACACGUAAUCUGCUGUGCUUUUCAAAACUUCCGCACAGUUAUCCACGUUGCUGCUUGUGUUGGAACUGCGGAAUUUCCAUAAGAGAAAGCGUGGUUUUGUCAAGACUCUUCCAGGCACUGAUGAGAGGUUAAAUUCGGACUAUAGAUAAUAUAUCAUUUAAGCAUUUUGCCAAAUCCAGAAAUGAUCAGAGAAGACAAGGGAGAGGGCACAGAUGAAAAUGCAAAUGGAAAUCUCGAAUCUGAUGAAUGGGAAGAUGAGUGACUGAGCAGGAAACUCCCAUUGUUCGGGUGCGUGGUUGACACUGAAGGGGCAGGUGUGUCCACAGAAGGCGCCCGGGAGGAUUCGCGAGACCGAGUGACAGAACUGUGCGAAAUAGCGGCGGUGGUCUGGCAGCGUCCGCAGAGCAGAAGCGUGGAGCACAGACCUUGGAUUUGAGCGACAGUAUCUCCAAGCACUGUCUGGAGAGUCACUCGGUGCUCAGUCCUUGGACCAAGGGCUCCGUACGGAAUUGGCAGCGUCACUCCAAACUCGUCAGCUUGCUGGUUUGCCGUCUGAGGCUGGUUAGGCCUGAGCCAAACUGUACAGCAGCACAUGAAGACCAGACUGCGGUACGUCCCCUGAGAGCUGACACUGGUGAGUUCUUCUCAAGAGGUAGAACCCAGCAGCCGUGGGACACUCACCAGAGCAAGACUGGCUGCUGGAGCAGUGGCUGAAGAAGCGCUUGGGCCGCUGCUGGAACACAGCUCGCUGCUCUUCUCUCUGGAGCCUCCUCCUGCUGCCACACUGCUGAGGCCAACACAGCCGCUCGCUUCCUAAAGCAUCUCCUGUACUUUAGCGUUAGACGCUCGUCUCUAGAUUCUCCAGGUGCUCCCAGCUCGUUCAACGCAUCUCUCAUCAUUUUGCUAUAAUGGUAAGAUAUUGUUCAUCGCUGUUGGCCAAGCUGUGCCCUUCGGGCUGGUUGCAGCACCCUGAACGGUGCCCCAGCGGCUCAUUUGACUGAUGAGCUGCAGUAACUGCUUUGGAAUCCCUGUGUUGUGACACCCUCACAAACACAGUGUAUUAUUUCAUUCCUUUAUUAAGUCAUUUUUUAGACUUCAAGUUCUUUAACUGCAUCAGAAAAGUUUCUGGAUGAAACCAAUUUACUGUCAUGGUUUAACACGCUGCUCUUACAUGGUUCAUUUUCAGUAAAUCCAUGCAGUAUGAAGCCUGCCCAACACUAAACCAAUAGUCUUCUCAUUUAACAAACUUCUAGUAAAAUCAAAUUUUUAUUUUGCCUGGUUACCAAAAGAGAAAAAAAAAAAAAUCCCACACUUUUCCUGGGUUUCAAUCAAAUUCUUAGUCAAGAGAAAGUAUAAGGAAUACAGACAGUACAUAGAACAGAUGUUUACGUGUAAACUUAUGCCAUUCAGCUCUUAAUAAAAAUGAUUCGGACACCAACAUAUCAAAGGCGUCUCACUGACAUAUGGUGUCCGACACGCUCCCACAAAUGAAUACAUGCUGGCUUUGAUGACAACCACACAAAUUGUAUCAUUCUGGGGGAACAGUCAGAUUUGUGCCUGUACAGGAACACAGAACUUGAAUUUCUUCAGGAGGCCGCACCACGUUGUAACCAGAGAGUGUCGGCUGAGGAGAACAUGUCCAGUCAUUCGCUGCCUCCUGUUUCUGCUCAGACCCAGGACAAAAAAAGAGCAAAAAGAGGAGUCCCAUGUGUAAAACCAGCCCCAAGACUUCUCUUAUUCCUAAAUGAGAAAUCGCCAGGGAUCUUUUUAAUUUUUGCUCUGGAUUUUUGCUAUGGAUGCUGCAGAUCACACAAGUGACUUCUCUGUGCUUACCCUCUUAGGGAGAGGGAGCAGAAUUUUCUAGUUUUCAACAACAAGUUGAUUUUGAAAUCUCUAAUUACAAAAAAAAUGUAUAAAAAUGUAUUAGCCAGCAGAUUUAUGUUUGAAAAAUACAGCAGUUUAAUUACAGAGAUAUCGUAAUUCUCUAUUUUUGAGGAAACGUGAUUACUGCAAUUUCUUCGUUAGGUUAUAGUUUCACUAGUUAAAACAUUAUUUGAAAGGUAUGGUGUAAUCUGUUUAUUCCACACUGUUGAAACCACAGCACAACAUAAGCAAACACUUGAAUACUCUCUUCCUAGCAACCAAGGUCCUUCAUCAGAAAAGCAGCACAUUUGUCUUUUUUCUGUACCUUGUAUUAAGCCAAAUUUCCAGUUUGCAAUCCUUUGGGCCAUUCAACAGCCAUCAGAUUCCUGGAAUAUAAUUUUAGUUGAAAGUCUAAGCCAGUGACUAAGCCAAUCAUCUCCUUGUUAAUUUUCUAAAAGAAUUUAAUUGAGCUUUCUUUCCAAAAACACCAUGUGAGUAACUAGAGUGUCCUUGGGUUUAAUGUUAGAGGAAAACCAUCUAUCAAGAUACCCAAAAUGACUUGGGGCCAAAAUUCCACACUGGAUACAUCCAAAUCUCUAUCGGAAUGCACUGAGCUGCUUUAUAUUUAGUAACCUGCCGCAUCACUUAACUCUUCACAUUCCCAGCAGCAGUUCCUGAAGUGCCGAGUUUCUGCAGGUCCCACUGCAGUGAGGACAAGGUACACAUACCGAGUUACUCCCUCGGGAUUUCGCGUUGUCUUUAUAGGCUGGGAUAGUGGGGAUGGUUUUACUGAAGAAACAGGUGACAAGAUCCUGACUGAGGUGACUUGUGCUAAAUGCGCAUUAUCACACACAUCCCCCAGCGCAUUAUGCGUCUGUUCGCCACCACUUCGCAUUUGCAGAGCUUAUUUCAGUAUUUUUGCAUUUUUUUCCACCCUUGAUAAUUUAUUUAUGAGUUUCGGAUUAUUAACAAUUUGAAGCUUCAUUACAAACUAUCCUGGGGGAAUCUCACCUGCUUCAUCCCACUAAAUUAUUAUUCCCAAAUAUCUAAUUUACAUUUAAUAAGACAUCAAUUGAACAUCAAUAAAAUAAUAAUGCAUUAAUAAACUACAGCCUCCCAGAAAUACUAGUAGCUUACAUAGGUAAGCAGUGCGCAGUCUGCAGGUCAGUCGUCAAAUCUCUCUGCGAAUAUUUGUCAGAAUCAUUUAGUAUUUAGCACAUGAUAAUAAACCAGAAAAAUAUUUAAUUCCUAUGGUCUUCAACUAAUUCUUGUGAUGACUGUGAACCACACCAACCUGUGGACCUGCAGGGCAGAGCCGGGCAGUACCCAGGUGUCCCAUGUGAGUAGCGCAGCCACCUCAGAACAUGUAACUGCCUAAGAAAUGGCAACAGAAUUCUGGUUAGGGUAAAUACUUUUUUAUUAUUAUUUUAACAUAAUCUCUUAAACAGAAAUACUUUAUUUUUCUAUACAGAAAGCUGAACUACACCCUUCUUUAAACUGACUUAAACUUCCGUCGAAGAACAUUAAAUUGCGUUGUUCAACAUUGCUGGCUGGGUGUUCCGUUUUAACAAAAUAUCAACCCCAAAGAUGAGCUUUGGCAAAUAUUUCUAUCCAGACAAAAGUGGCAUUAUUUCACCUUGGAGAACUUCGGUGAAGGCUCUAACCCUAUUCCAGCCUGUAGCUCCACAGCGCUGUUUAUCCCUAACUGGUAACAACUUCCAUGUGCAUUUCCUGGGCUCGUGCAAAGCCCAGGAAGAAGGGGAAGCACAAGAGCCAAGGUUUUAAUUCUGCAUUUUUUUUUUUCUUUAUUUCACCAACUUCUUAUUAUGUACUUUAUGGUUCAAAUUUUAUCAGGGCUUGAAAAAGAGCCUCCGAUGGAAAAGCUGCCCAUGUUGGGCAGGCUUCUCCAUCACAGUCACUGAGAAUCACUUACCCUGUUCUGCAUCAUGAUUCCUCUGGUGAGCAGAACUGCGCCAGCCUCCCACUUCAGUGGGAUUUACACGGGGGCUGUAAAUGCCCAUCUGUGGAACUGAAGCCGAAAGACAGUAUUAUCGCUCUGUGACAGUCUGAUUGUUUUAAUGUUCAUUGACUCCUUUUCAUCCACAACACAACUGUCAAUUUUUAACUGCUCAUGUCCACUGUCUGGACAUCUCCAUUGCACAAGCAAGGAUGAGAAGGCCAGCCAUCCUUCAUGCAAACAUUACAGCCCCACUGCAAACCUUAAUGCCGCUUGCAGUGUUUACAAGUCCACCGAGAUGUGCUGUGCAAACCCUAACACAGAGAGAGGUUUUAGUUUAACAUUUAAAAUAAAUGUUAAGGUCUAAAGGGGCCAUCAGAAAUGCCGGUCUGACUGCUUAUAUCAGAUUUUUACCCAGUUAGUUCUGUUUGACUAAACCGCAUCUUCCUGAAAUACUUCCAGUCUUCAGCUGUAAAUGGAAAAUCCAUCAUCUCUUCUCAGCAGUUUACACUAGUGUUAAUAACCCCAAGCAUUUACACUAGCAUUAAUUAAUCUGCUCCUCCUGAACAAAUCCACAUACAUACCUUUUUUUGGGGCACUCUCAUGCAGAGAGCACUUGCCCACAGCUUUGAGGGAUGCUUCUAAUUUUAGGGCAACCCACUUACCAGAUUUUCCAUUUCCUCUCAUUCAAGUUUUGGAAGAAAAAUACCACUCACCUCUCUUUUUUAAAAAACUUCCACCGUGGAAGAGUUUCACUGCCCUCAUUCAAUCAAACUACUCCAUGACUUGAAUAGACAUUUUUCUUGAGUAUGGAAGAAUAAAGCCUUCACUUUCUGGGCCUUUUUCACAAUGGAACCUGUGAAAAUCAAAAUAAAUAAUGUACACGGAUUCAUCCUUAGUGAGUGCAAAAAUAGUCCCUCAGAGUGAUAGGAAUCGGCUUGUCUCCGGUGGGAGCUGUAUAACCUCUUCUGUAAACACGACAAUGAAUAAUGAUCGGUCUCAUACUCCUCUCUCACACUCUUGUGUGACAGACCCUUAAUAAUGGCUAUUACAUUAUUAAUUGCUUCAGAGAAUUCUCCAUGGCUAAAGCUGUGUUGUCUGGACAUCAAGGACAGCAUAAAAACCCUCCUUAGGAAAGCUCCUCAGAAGCAUCUGCUGAUGUUCAGCCCACCUAAGGUGUGCUCUGUUCUAGACAGAAAACGCAUCGCUUCAGCUUGCUGCCUCCUACAAAAACUGAUACACCACUGAAAAUUCAGGGGAAGAUUUCCACCUGAAAACACUGAGGGAAAGGAAAAGCCAUUCUCUCACUAAGCUCUGAAAAACUUCAGAUUUCUGUCAUCUUAGCCUCUAGAUCCUGCAAAGCUCACCCAUCCUUAAGAAGUUCCUGACCGCUGGGGCUUGCACCGCAACAGUGCUAAAGCAGAACCACACAUUCUGACUGUGUAACAGAAAACUGAACCAGAAACCACCCACUGAGGCACUGUACCACCAGCAUCUAUUACAGCACCACUGCUGGAACAUUUUAAUUGGGUGGAUUAAAGAAGCCAGAAGAAGGCCAACCUCCGUGUGAGGCCACACGAAGAACUGUAAUCUGCACUGCAGCAGGAGCCUGAAUCCAGUCAGGUUUGAGACCUAAUCUGGCACGAACCUGGUGUGUAGCUGUACUGCAUUGGGUGUCUUAUAAACACAACUUUCAAUAAUAUGUUCUUCUUAUGAAAGCAAUAACAAGCGGUAAGAGGAGAAGAGCCUAUACCCGGCAAGCUUUCCUAUUAAAUUCCACUAAUGCGUCUCAGCCGUGACCCAUAGUAAUUUGGGUAACCCAGUAAGGCUGAAUGCCCCUAAGAACCUGGGAUGAUGUACGGCCUACCUGCAAGAGAUGAGGACGUACAAGAGAGCAACUAGACACCAAGUAUCACCUUGCACUCAGAACAAAAGUGAACUUAAAAAACAGAUGUAAGAAAAUUCAUUAUCAAGAAUAAGAAAACCUGCUUUACGUAGUCCUACAGGUGCUUUCAAUGCCACCAACUCAGCACUCGUUUCCAAUUGCAACAUUACAUCCACUGUCCUGCUUAAUGGAAUACGCAACACUCAGGUUACUCUCAGGCUUUAUAGUAACUACAGUUAUUCCAAUACAAAUACCUUGAAGGAUCGUGUUUUCUCAGAUUCAUUCAUGUUUCGCCAGAACCCCAAAGUCUUCUACCUUAUCACACAAUAGGUUUUAGAGAGCCCACUCCUCUUAAAUCAUUCUAAUACUCUUCUUCAUUUCCAUAUGCUUUGGAUAAGUGUGCACAGACCCAGUGAAGCAUUAAUACUCUCUCCUGAAAAAUUCAUCUGCUCACCUGAAUUAUGAUUUCAGGCCCUUAGCGGCUUAAGUACAACUCUAGGUAGGGAAUGGCUUCGGGAAGCAGCCUCUGCUCUCAGGUUACUUGGGAAAAUAAGGUAACAAGCAAUGUAGUGGUGUAGGCAGGAAUUACAAGACUUUUUAUGCUCUUUAAUAUUUCCCUUAAUUCUAAAAUCAACCAAAGCCCCAGCAAAAGAAUCACUUUUCCUUUAGAAUUGUCUCUCAGCAGGGUAGUGCGCGCUGCCAAGUUAUCGCUUUGUGCCAUAUCGGAUUUUCAAAGCCAUCCGUAUUCAAUGUGCUAAGAAGCGACACUGAAUCCCGCAAUUACAAAUAAAACCAAAAGUUUCAAAAAGAUUUUGGAAUUUAGAGGAAUAUAAACGGCUGCUUUGAAGCUGCUUUUACAGAUUUACAUUUUAGUCCAUUUUGAAUGGAUAAACAGACAAAAAUAUGUUUUGUAAAGGAACAAUAAGAUCUCCAGUUUAACACUUUCCAUAGUUAGAUAGUAAGAAAUACCAGGAGCCACAGAAAGAAUAAUUUAUAUUCACUGUGUGGAAUGCUUAUGUUUCAUUUCUGCUUAUUACUUGAGCUGCUGAAAAGCACCUCGUUUUCUAACCUUAACGACUUAAUGUAAGGCAGGAGACUCCUGCAAAUGUACAUUCCCACCAUCAUUUCCACCUUCAUCUUUCCCACCCAACUGCAAGGAUGAUCCAGAACAAUCAGGGCACGAUUACUGUUCAGUCAAGAGAUUCACAAAGUUUAUCAAAGGUUUCUUUUUUUUUCUUCUGAAAGACACAGCUAACAUUGCCAAAGCAUCCAUACACACUUCGAAUUAAAGAUGUGGAGAAAAGGGCUCUGAAAGGAAAAUUAAUUAGGAAGAUUCAUUCUCUAACAUUGCUUGCUGUCACUUCACUCCUAACGAUUGAAGUGUUUUCAUGGUUUUCUGCAUUCUCCCUCAGUGCUGUGUAAUUUGAUUUCCAAAUCCCCUGAGCUUUGCCACAAACCUCCGGGGUGUCUCCGGGAUGCAAAGGUCAGAGCCAGAGAUGAUGGGGAUGGGGGAUGCAGAGGACAAGUCUCAGAGCCUCUUGCUUCAAACCCAUCGCUGCCACAGGAACCCGGGGCAGGGAAGCACACCAGACAAUCUCCCAAAGGAAAAUCAACCACAGCAGGAACUUCCCGAGGAAAAACCAGCCCUGGUGGUGACUGAUCCUAGAGUCACUGCCAGCAGAAUCCAAGUGGCGUUCCCUAAACUAAAGGAACAAGACAGCUUUCCCAGAGAUCUUCUGCACGGAAAUCAAACAGGCUCCCAGAUUUCUUGAACAAAAAUCCUACACUGGGAAGCCCAAACAAGUUAACUUGCAUGUUUGGCUGAUGUAUUUAGGGAAAGGCUUUGGUGCUGUGUUCCACCCACCCUCCAGAGACACCCUUCAGCGCCAGCUCCUCCACAGCCCCCACAUUCCCAAUACGGUGCUGCCGUGGUCUCGACAUGACGGGUAACCAAGUGCCAGCCAGCCUCUAGCUUAGGCUUCCCGAACAACCUUCUUUUCUUUUUUAUUGGUUAAUUAACAUAAUCACUUCUUAAGAACAACUGUAAUAGCAGUCAGCGGAACAGGUGGUGUGACUAGUAAAAAGUCUAUAAAGAGAAAAAUCAAUAUCCCACCAGAGGUAUGCAGAGGAUGUACCUUUUAAGAUCACAAAUUCCCUUGUGGGGACCUAAAUAAUUCUCUGCCGCUUUUGCAUGAUGUGCUUCCGUUUUACCUUAUUUGUUAUUGUCUGUUUAAUCGAGUUCUUCUGUAGUAUAAGCGUGAUCACCAUUAUGCUAAUCUCUGCACUAGACAUGCAUAUAUAUAAACAUUUGUGUGCCAAAUUAUUAAGGUUCUGUCUAUAAUGUUAUGCUCCUAUUCACUAUCUAUAUUUUAUGUCUUAUGGAUUUCUAAACAUUUAAAUUUAUAUCAGUGCUGUCACAUAUCUGCAAGCAGAGACAGUUUUAUGAGCACUAAAAAAGCUGCAACACACAGCCACUAAAUACUAAUGACAUAAAUGGUAUCCACUAAUGGUCUCUAUUUUUAUUACAAUACAAAACUUCAAUAUAUUGCAAUUACCACUGCUCUCAGACGGAACCAUACACACUGUAUAAUGCCAACUUCCAUCUCUAUAGCGUAAAAUGGCAUUAUUUGUUGUAUAUAGUUCAGCCCUGUACUGUAGAUGUUGACUGAAUGCUCAAGUCAGCAGUUGUAGCUAAAAUUCACUCUAUUUACAGAGUCUUACUGUUAACUAAUACCCUAAGUUGUCAAAUAUGCCAAUGCAUUAGACAUUUUUCAAAGCCUGCUGCACUAAUAGCAUGUAAGUGUAGCACGUCUUGUUGUACCUGUCAACAGCCCAGAAACUUUGCAAAGGUAAAGCAUGUCAAAAAAAGGAAAUUAUCUUCCUGUGCUUCUGUGUUAAAAAAUCUUUACUGAGUGAUUUUUUGAAAAUAUUGUAAUACAACAGUGCAGUCAACAAAGCUCGCUCUCAUGAAACUCAGCUCCUGUUUUACCUUUUUCAUGUUAAAUUUGAAAUUCUUCAUUCACAAUUAGAACAGUCUCUCUUUUUACUUCAGCUAUCAAAGAGACAAAAACUUGCUCUUAGGAUUUUGGGACAGUGGAAACCUCAAUGUUGUCCAUAAAACUGGAUGAAAAAAAGCGUACCGCAGAAAUCCCUCAUACGUGAACCAGGGAGGAGUGGAGUUAAUCUCAUUCCAUCUACGCAUUUUACUUGCCAGAAAUUUUCACCCAAACAGGAGAGCUAAGGUCGCCUCCCGAGCUCUCUCACGCCUGUUUAUCUCAUGCAAAACAAGCCCUAGUUAUACUCCCUUUCACUGACUUAGCUGAGAAUAACCUCCAGAAGGCUGGAGUUCUGUCUGAACCAGGAGACGUUUCCCUAUUCCCAUGCAGCUGGGCAGUCACUUACCCAAGGAAAACGCUGGAGACAAAGUAGGUGUCAGACCUGGUAGCGUUUUACAUGCAUUUGCUGACACAAGGCAGACAACACAAACGUGCACGCAAAAUAUUUCCCGAGGGCUGACUAGUGAGAACAGCAAAAAACUGGAAGACAGUGUAAUUACUGCAGAGUUACCAAAUACUGCUUGUGCUUAAAAAUACAAUGCAAAGAUCACCCUUAACUUUUAGUCUGGAAAGCCACUCCACCUGAAAGUAGGAUUUUCUUUAAAUGUUCUCACUCACACUGCGUAAAUCUAAACACACAUGACUGACUAUACAAGAAUGAAUGAUGGAAAAUAUGUAGAAUAAUAUCUAAACCUCACAACUGGGAAUACUGGUAUGGUAUCACUUAUUUUUUCAUCUUCCUUUUUCUGCCAAUAAUAUUCAAUAUGACAAGUGCUUUCUAAUGUCAUCUGAACCCACUUCAGCGUGCUAAUAUUUUGACUAAACAGAUUUUAUCUAGGAUCCCAGUCAACUCUGUUCUACAAUUAAUAAAAUGUUCCAACUGAAAAUUCAAUGGCAGUUUAAUUUCAGAAUAUGGGAUUUAUCAGGAGAACAAAUUCAUUAGUUUAAGUAUUUGUAUUAAAAUACAGUUUUUCCAAAUAAGUAAAAUAUUCUACCUCAUCUUCUCAAGAAUUUGAAAUAAUGGCUCACUUUUGCCAUUCAAAACGUUGGGUUUUUUUCAUUUUUAAUCCUCUCCACGCAUCUCAAAACUUGAAACAAACCACACUGACUGACUUCACUAAUAAAAAAAGGAAACAUUUGAGUCCAUGAGAAGCAUUUAAUUUUUUAAUGAUUUCCCCAUUUUUCUUGAGGAAACUGCUGGGUCACUACAACCCAUUUUGAGGCGUAUUUUUGGACAUUUGGAAAUGCCAUCUUUGACAACCUGUAUCGUUCACUGCAAUUCUUUCUCCUUACUUAACAAUCACAUUGUACCAAGGGAGAAAAUGAGCUCUUUUAAAUCUGAAGCAUAUCAACUUGAAAGAAAAUGUUGAAGUUUUUAAUGCCUGCAACAGAAAAAUAGCAAUAGGUUGCAGGUCUGGUAAUUCCAAGCCAACAAGUGCCUGACUCAUUUUGUUUGGUUUUCUUUCUCUUUCUUUCUUUUAUCCCUCCUAACUUGGGGUUCCCAUUUUUGCCAUUAUAACUCUCGGUGCAGCAAAGCUCAAUGUUAUUCCCCCAAUGGAUGGAAUUUUGAUGAAGUCCCUAAUUUAGGAAAGUGGUUGCCCUGGAAAUGCUGUAAUAUCAAGUAGAGUGAGACAUGUGCAGAGGACAAAGCCAAGGUCUCCACACCAGAUUGUUCCCAGCUCCUCAUCCAGGUGGCUCAGAUACCCGAGUUAUAUGGUCUGAAUGCAGCCCAGGAUCUAAACUCUCCUCUCCUAAAAAAUAUGCAGGAAUAAGUUUUGUGCAUAGAAUCAUUUUGGCUGGAAGUGACCCUUUAAGAUCAUUGAGUCCAACCAUAACCCACCCCUGGCACUGCCCCAUGUCCUGAGAACCUCAUGUCCGUCUGUCCAGCCCUCCAGGGAUGGUGACUCCAGCACUGCCCUGGGGAGCCUGUUCCAAUGCCCCACAGCCCUUUGGGGAAGAAAUUGUUCCCCACAUCCAACCUCAACCUCCCCCGGCACAACUUGAGGCCGUUUCCUCUGCUCCUGGCGCUUGUUCCUGGGGAGCAGAGCCCGACCCCCCUGGCUCCAAGCUCCUUUCAGGCAGUUCAGAGAUCAGAAGGUCUCCCCUCAGCUCCUGUUCUCCAGCUGAACCCCCAGGUCCCUCAGCCGCUCCAUCACACUUGUGCUCCAGCCCCUCACCAGCUCCGUUCCCUUCUCUCCACUCGCUCCAGCACCUCAAGGCCUUUCUUGGUGUGAGGGGCCCAGAACCGGCCCCAGGAUUCGAGGUUUUUCCUCCCCAGGUCCCAGCACAGGGACGGUCACUGCCCUGGGCCUGCUGGCCACACCAGUGCUGGAACCAGCCAGGAUGCUGGUGGCCUCUUGGCCACCUGGGCACACGCUGGCUCAUGUUCAGCCGCUGGCACCAACACCCCCAGGGCCUUUUCCUCUAGGUCAACAUCCCCAGAUCCUUUUCCACCAGAAUAAGGAUUUCUAUUUCAGCCUUAGAAGUGUCUGUUCGCCCGGGGCACUGACACAGCACCCAGCUACCAGCAUAGCUGCCCCCAUAACCAGAAUGACAGAGGAUGGGACGUACUUUCACACAGCAACGUGUCCAAUGGGUUUCUGACCUCGCAGACUCACAGACACAUCUCCCACACAGCUGCUGAAGUCUCUUCCACAGGAAAAAAAGACAGACAGCUCUACCCAGGUACACACAGGGAAACCUCUGCUGAAACAGUAAAAAACCCAUGGAAAACAACAAGAGCCUUUCUGUGCACUCCAAUGGGUGGAAGCCUCUUGCCUCCAUUACCUGUUUGGAAUACGUGGCUAUAGACAGUUUUGUUUUCACAUGUAAAGACAUUAUUUAAAAAGCACCCUGGGAAGGAUGGCUGUCCAGAUCUGCAUUCCCUCCAAAGGGAUUGGGGUGGAAUAUUUACACCCAAGGCUAUGGUUUUUUAAGGUAUUCCUUCUUAUUAUAACAACACAAUGAAAGAGCUAUAAUAUCUGGAAGGUUUAGACUUUUGUCUUGUAACCCUGCAGAUGAAUAGCUUCAACCUUUGAAAGAAAUUGCAGCGUGAAUGUCUGUUUUAUUCCAGAGUUGUGUCUGAGCAGACUAUUAGUAGAAUACUGAUAAAUGCUACAAUAACUAUUCUUUUUCCCCCCCUUCUGCUUUUAUGCCAUUUCCAAUACCUAUUCUUCCCCUGGUGCUGUCAGCUGAUGUCUGUCUCAUAACUCUCCGGGUAACAGCAUUAGAAGAAAAAGAAAUUAAGUUCAAAUAAAACUGCCAGGUAGAAUUCAA